rnacentral:lncRNA from 1 species
AAAAAACCAAGUAGUCUAAAUAAAAUUGUCAGGCCAGAAAAAAGAUAUGAAAAACCCUCGCUAAUCUUGAAGCAGAAAAAGCUAUAAAAAAAGAAAAGAAAUUAGAGGGAAAUUUUGAAAAAAAGCGAAAUUCACUAACGAAGGAGUGAGUAGCAUUGUGCGGCCUAAUGCUAAAAUUGAUUGAAAAGGUAAAAAAAAAAAAAAAACCUCUCCCUUCCGAAAA